AGUUGGUGAGGUAACGGCCCACCAAGCCGACGAUGGGUAGCUGGUCUGAGAGGAUGGUCAGCCACACUGGGACUGAGACACUGCCCAGACUCCUACGGGAGGCUGCAGUCGAGAAUCUUGGGCAAUGCGCGAAAGCGUGACCCAGCAAUGCCGCGUGUGUGAUGAAGGCCUUCGGGUCGUAAAGCACUGUCUCCCGUGACGAAAUUUGACGGUAGCGGGGAAGGAAGCCACGGCUAACUACGUGCCAGCAGCCGCGGUAAUACGUAGGUGGCGAGCGUUGUUCGGAUUUAUUGGGCGUAAAGGGUCUGUAGGAGGUUCGUUAAAUACGAGGUGAAAUCCCGAAGCUCAACUUCGGAACUGCCUUGUAGACUGACGGACUAGAGUACCGGAGAGGUAAGCGGAAUACCAGGUGUAGCGGUGGAAUGCGUAGAUAUCUGGUAGAACACCAAUAGCGAAGGCAGCUUGCUGGACGGAAACUGACUCUGAAAGACGAAAGCAUGGGGAGCAAACAGGAUUAGAUACCCUGGUAGUCCAUGCCGUAAACGUUGUCAACUUGAUGUGGGGGGAUUUAGUCCUCUCCGUAUCGAAGCUAACGCGAUAAGUUGACCGCCUGGGGACUACGGCCGCAAGGCUAAAACUCAAAGGAAUUGACGGGGGCCCGCACAAGCGGUGGAGCAUGUGGCUUAAUUCGAGGCAACGCGAAGAACCUUACCUGGUCUUGAAAUAUAUCGGACCGCCUGUGAAAGCAGGCUUCCCUUCGGGGCUGAUAUACAGGUGCUGCAUGGCUGUCGUCAGCUCGUGCCGUGAGGUGUUCGGUUAAGUCCGGCAACGAGCGCAACCCGUGUCACUAGUUGCCAUCAAGUAAUGUUGGGGACUCUAGUGAGACUGCCUGUGUUAAGCAGGAGGAAGGCGCGGAUGACGUCAAGUCAGUAUGGCCCUUACGACCAGGGCUGCACACGUGCUACAAUGGGGGGUACAAUGGGAUGCAAUGUCGCGAGGCGGAGCAAAUCCACAAAACCUCUCUUAGUUCAGAUUGCAGUCUGCAACUCGACUGCAUGAAGUUGGAAUCGCUAGUAAAGGCGUAUCAGCUACGACGCCUUGAAUACGUUCCCGGGCCUUGUACACACCGCCCGUCACAUCAUGGGAGUUGACUGCACCCGAAAUCGGUGAUCUAACCUGCAAAGGAAGAAGCCGCCUAAGGUGUGGUCGAUGACUGGGAUGAAGUCGUAACAAGGUAGCCGUAGGGGAACCUG
rnacentral:rRNA from 1 species